ACAAACAUAACAAAGGGUUUCAAUAACCGAUACCACUAGUAUCUUUGAUACAUAUAAUUUCAAUUGACACAAUGACAGAUAAUUGUGAACAAAGCCCGUUCUUUCUUUCUGAUUCGUCCAUGUGUCAAAACCGCCGCAGUGCAGCGCCAACUACAGGCGAGGAGGACUUAUUCAAUGUCAGAAUUUUUUUUUUUUCUUAAGUAUCAGUAGCUGCUAUCGGGAGACAGGGGCGGAGCCACAGGGGAUGCAGGGGUAGAACCGGACCCCCUGAAAUCUGAUUGGACCCCCCCAGGUGCCCCCCCCAGAUGAUUGACAUAUCACGGCACCGCAUGUCUUGUCGAAAGGAGCCGUUUGCCUUUUGAAAUCAGUGAUGCCUUUUGACUGCUAAGUCCCUCCUGUAGAGUAGUGGGCGCUAUGUACCACAAAGAGUUGUAAUCCACAUUUAUUAGGAGGAGAAGAAGAAGAAGGAUCACCACAGAAGAAGAUGAUUUGCCCCCAGAGCCAGGCUACGUCACAACCUCAUCCUAAAGCCUCCUCGCGCCGUGCGUCAUCUUCCUGCCAGGAUGCUGUGAAAUGUGACUUCAUCGUCUCCGCUGCCGCACGUCGUGGUCAUUAGUCCGGUUGAAUGAAUCAAAUUGAACUGCUGACUCCGGAUCCGAAGAAGCUGCUUACCGAUGUUGCGCUUGCGCUUGUGUAAAGGCUGCUUGGUCUCUCCGGUGCAGAGGUCAUUGCGCUCCUUACUGCACUGCACUGCGUGAACAACAUUGUCGAGUUUCCUCCCUGGGAUUUUAUCUUUGGGCUGAACCAAAUUUGUCUGAGGAUGCGAGUGGGUUUGAAUUGCAUUGGUAUGUUAUGUUUAGAGGAAAUCCUUUUAACUUUCUCCAACAAGCCAGCGCCUCCUGUUUCAGUCUUCAGGCUCGGGUGUAGAGACCUUUCUUCUCCUGGCGGCUUUGACACAGGUCAAGUUGGGAUAUCCACAGUUAGUAGAAUUUCAGAAACCCUUUUGAUUAAAAGUGAAACUUCUUCAACAAAUUAAGAAACAUCCAGUUGCCUCUAUUCAACCCCACAUAAAACAAUGUCAGGGAGGGCUGGAUUUGGCCCGUGAGUAACUUGGUUCACAAAGCAAACUUGGCAUGAGAACACCUGUUUUGGGCGUGGGAGUAACUGUGUGUACUGUAGGUAGUACGAGACGCUGCAUAUCAAGUAACAUGUCUUCGUA